CGGACGGUGAGUAACGCGUGGGUAACCUGCCUCAUACAGGGGGAUAACAGUUAGAAAUGACUGCUAAUACCGCAUAAGCGCACAGAAUCGCAUGAUUCGGUGUGAAAAACUCCGGUGGUAUGAGAUGGACCCGCGUCUGAUUAGCUAGUUGGUGGGGUAAAGGCCUACCAAGGCGACGAUCAGUAGCCGACCUGAGAGGGUGAUCGGCCACAUUGGGACUAAGACACGCCCAAACUCCUACGGGAGGCAGCAG
rnacentral:rRNA from 1 species